UUGUUUCAGCAGCCUACGUACGAAAAUUGGAACGAUACAGAGAAGAUUAGCAUGGCCCUUGCGCAAGAGGACAUGCAAAUUCGUAAAACUGCUUUCACUAUG
ensembl:snRNA U6 U6 spliceosomal RNA